UUCUUUGUUCUAAGAUCUGUAGGAGUUCUGACAUUCUGUGUUCUAAGGCCCCUCUGAGCUCUGACAUUUGAUGCUCUAUGCCCAAGGCUCCUCCUCGGUCUGAAAUUUUAUGUUCUAAGGGCCUUUUCUGCUUUGACAUUUUAUGUUCUCUAUUCUAAGGUUCUUUCUGGUUCAGAAAUUCUUAUUUUAAGGCUCCCUUCUGAUCUGAUAUCCCUUGUACUAAGUUUCCUUUCAGCUCCAUGGUUCCAAAACAAGGACUUCCCAUCACUUUACCCAGUACAGACCCUCUGCCAAAAGGAUUUCCAGCCUCCUAGUACACAUUCCUUCACCACCACCACCACCACCACCACCAUGGCAGGUAACUUCUCUGAAGAUUCUGUUCCAAAGUUCACAGUCCUAGUGACUAUCAUACAUGUGGGAGAGAAGAACGAUGGUUCACAAAAGCUAGCAUCUUAACA
rnacentral:lncRNA from 1 species